rnacentral:rRNA from 1 species
AACGAACGCUGGCGGCGUGCCUAACACAUGCAAGUCGCGCGCGAAAAGGGCAACCUGAGUAGAGCGGCGCACGGGUGCGUAACACGUGGGUAAUCUGCCUUAGAGUCGAGGAUAACCUUCCGAAAGGUUGGCUAAUACUCGGUAAGCUUACGGUGUCUUCGGACGCUGUGGGAAAAGUAGGCCGCUGUUUACAAGCCUACGCUCGGAGAUGCGUCUGCGGCACAUCAGCUAGUUGGCGGUGUAACGGACUACCAAGGCAACGACGGGUAGCUGGUCUGAGAGGACGAUCAGCCACGCUGAAACUGGGACACGGUCCAGACUCCUACGGGAGGCAGCAGUGGGGAAUUUUCCACAAUGGGCGAAAGCCUGAUGGAGCAACGCCGCGUGUGUGAUGAAGGUUUUCGGAUCGUAAAGCACUUUGGACUGGGACGAAAAGCCUUUGGCUAACAUCCAAGGGCCUGACGGUACCAGGAGAAGAAGCACCGGCUAACUCUGUGCCAGCAGCCGCGGUAACAC